GCGCUAGCCGAGAGCAAAAGCAGCUGCACAAAUACCAAACACCGAUACCAACCGUUACAGUUUCAGACGGAGAGAGAGAAGGGGGGGAGCAAAUUAUGACCGCCCGCGCCUCCUCCGAUUCUCAAAAAGCCAAAAAUAGAACAAAACAACGACGGCGACGGCGACCACCAGCUAGUAGCAAAACCGAAAUCGAUGACCGAAGAAGAGAACGGUGGAGAAGAAGGAGGACAGGAAGGCGCCAGUGGAGAAGAGCAAGAGGAGGCUUUGGUUGCGUUGAUCGAACACCGUGCGCAUGAAGUU
rnacentral:misc_RNA from 1 species